rnacentral:rRNA from 1 species
UACGUAGGGGGCAAGCGUUGUCCGGAUUUAUUGGGCGUAAAGAGCGUGUAGGCGGCCAGGUAGGUCAGCUGUGAAAACUCGAGGCUCAACCUCGAGACGCCGGUUGAAACCACCUGGCUAGAGUCCGGAAGAGGAGAGUGGAAUUCCUGGUGUAGCGGUGAAAUGCGCAGAUAUCAGGAGGAACACCUGCGGUGUAGACGGCUUACUGGACCAUAACUGACGCUGAGGCACGAAAGCGUGGGUAGCAAACAGG